rnacentral:rRNA from 1 species
UACGUAGGGUGCAAGCGUUGUCCGGAAUUAUUGGGCGUAAAGAGCUCGUAGGCGGUUUGUCGCGUCUGCUGUGAAAACUCGGGGCUUAACUCCGGGCCUGCAGUGGGUACGGGCAGACUAGAGUGCGGUAGGGGAGACUGGAAUUCCUGGUGUAGCGGUGAAAUGCGCAGAUAUCAGGAGGAACACCGGUGGCGAAGGCGGGUCUCUGGGCCGUAACUGACGCUGAGGAGCGAAAGCGUAGGGAGCAAACAGG